rnacentral:SRP_RNA from 1 species
GCCGGGUGCGGUGGCAUGUGCCUGUAAUCCAAGUCACUGGGAGGCUGAGGUUGGUGGAUCAAGUGAGCUGAGGAGCUCUGGGCUGCAGCACGCUAUGUCGAAACGGGUGUCCACGCUAAGUUCGUAUCGAUAUGGUGUUCCGGGGGAGCCCGGGACCACCAGGUUGUCUAAGGAGGGUGAACCGGCCCAGGUCGGAACGAAGCAGGUCAAAUCCCCCGUGCUGUCCAGUAGUGGGAUAAUACCUGUGAGUAGAUGCUGCAGUGCAGCCUUGGCAAAACAUCGAGACCUAAUCUUUU